ensembl:lincRNA
AUGCUCAGUUGUCAGGACGCGGUGGCCGGGUUGCAUGGAAAAUGCUCCGCGGAGUCCCAGCCGGGCAGAAAGCCCGCCAGGCAAAGGGUUCAUCCCGAGGGGGCGGGGCCUCGGACGCACGCUCGCUCCCNNNNNNNNNNNNNNNNNNNNNNNNNNNNNNNNNNNNNNNNNNNNNNNNNNNNNNNNNNNNNNNNNNNNNNNNNNNNNNNNNNNNNNNNNNCCUGUCAGCCGGAGGAUCCUGUCGCCCGCUCCCCACGGCCCCGCAAUUUUCGCGUGGGCUCAGAGGCGGAACGACAACAAAAAAUGGCGGAGCGGAGCCAGACGGCGCCUGAGGCAGGCAGUGAUAUGGGAAAUGAUGAUGCCAUCGGAGGGAAUGUGAGCAAAUAUGUGGUGCUUCCAACUGGAUACUGUGGACAGCCCAAGAAAGGACAUCUUAUCUUUGAUGCUUGCUUUGAAAGUGGUGAGUGUAUCAAAGACCUUUUCUUUUGAGAUUGUCUGGUGAGGUUUUUUUUUUUUUUAGAAUCUUACUCCAUAUGACCACUUAAUGUGAUUCAACCCUUUUAAUUUUUUUUUACCAUAAUGAAAUAAGUUAUGAGUGAAAAAUCAAAUUUGAAUGAAUUAACUUGUAAAUACUUAAAGUGAAACACAAUAAAUGCUUUUGUUGUCAUAAAUGAUUAGAAAAAUAAUGAUAGUACUAAUGAACACUUAUAGAGGACUUUAUAUUUUAUCAAAUGCUUAUCUAGAUAUUAUUUCUUUUGGGAAAAAUUAAUAUAAUUUGACUACUUGAUAAAUCAUUAAUAUUGAAUAUCUACUAUAUGGCUCUUAGUCAUUCUGAGAGGAGGCUUCUCUAUAAAAAAAGUUAAAGAAUAGAUUCAGUUGAAUAAAACAGAAAAAGUAAUAUACUUCAUACACAGCAAAUGCUAUGAGAAUUCUGAUAGGGAAACUCAGGGCUUGAUUGUGAACUUCCAUCCAGUCGUAACUGAAUCUUGUUAAUUUCCUUGAGCCUCACACUCUGAAUGGAAUGUAAGCGUAUAGUGUGUAUUCAGAAUAUCUUAAAAAUAUUAAUGAGAAAUUAAACAUAAUUUUGUUUAAAAAAUAAUUGUUGAUUAUUUUGGGUUUUGAAUGUUGUGCUUGCACGUUUGUGGGUAUGCAUGAUUGAAGGGACAUUUUAGUUAUGAAAGUUCUCUGAACCCUAAGAACCAUGGCUGUUUAUACCAACAACUGAAAAAUUUUUUAUGCAGGAUUUUCCCUUUUGUUUAUUCUAUGUUGUUUUAGUAUUUUAGAGGUUUCUUUAUAAAGAACCAUAAACUGAUUGACUUACAAAAAAGAAAUUUAAUGUUUCAGAAUUCUGGAGGACAGAAGUCUGAGACUGAGAUGUUGACAGUGUUGGUUCCUUCUAAGGGUUGUGAAGAAGAAUCUAUUUAGUGUCUCUCCUCUAGCUUUCUGUAGUUUGCUAGCAAUCUUUGGUGUUCCUUGGUCUGUAGAAAUACCAUCCUGAUUUCUGCCUUCAUUUUCACAGGCAUUCUCUGUGUGUACAUGUCUGUCUCUAAAUAUUCCCUUUUUAUAAGGAUAUGAGUCAUAUUGGACUAGGGCCUACUCUAAUGACCUGAUUUUAACAUGAUUCCUUCUACAGAAAACCUCUUAGUAGAGUCACAGGGCUAAGACAUCAAUAUACAAAUUUUGGGGAGAUGUAAUUUAAUCUAUAACACAGUAUUGCAGUGUUGUCUUUCCAGUCAGACUUGGACACUGUCAACAUAAUUGGGAACAACGUAUUGUACUUUCUUUGAAUCUUGUAUAGCUAUCCUUUUGUGCCUGGGUAGGAUUGGUUCUAGGCCCUGUGUGGAUGCCAAAAUCCACAGAUAUGCAAGUCCUUCAUAUAAAAUGAUGUAAUAUUUGUGUGUAACCUAUGCGCAUCCUCCUGUAUACAUUAUUGUCUCUAGAUUACUUAUAAUAUCUUAUGCAGUGUAAAUGUUAUGUAAGUAGUUACCAGCAACUGGCAAAUUCAAGUUUUGCCUUCUGGCACCUUAGAAUUGAAAAAAAAUUUUUUUUGAUCUUUGGUUCAUUGAAUCUGGACAUGUGGAACCCAUGGAUAUGGAGGGCUGAGUUCAUGUGGAUGAAGUUUAUUGCCUUCAGAUAGGCUUCUAUUUUCUUUCUUUCAGAGUUGUGUAAUAUAUAAGGUGCACAUUAUAAUAUGUAAAAUAUGUAAUAUGUACAUUGCCUGUUCCUAAGCUGGUGGAUAACUAAUCUGUGUUUCUUAUGAGAAAUAAGAUCUGUAGGGCAAAUAUGAACUCGCCUAUGAAUUCCUGAUAUGUUUUCUUUCCAUAUGCCCUUCCACGUAAGUAUUAUUUUCCCUGGAAAAACAUCUACACCACCCUAAUUUUAUCUUGAGAGAUACCUGACAUUUUUUAUGAUUUUUAAAAGUUUCUGUUACUCUUUUCUUCUAGACUAUAGCAUGCUUCUGGGUAGAAUCUGAGUAUGGUUAAUCCAUGUCCUUUUAUUGAACCAGGCAGAGUGCUUACAAAAUUAAGCAAAUUUAAUUCUUUAUUUGUUGAAUGAAGUAGUUUAAACAACAGAAGUCUGUGGAAAGAUUAAUUUUCUGAUAGGUUUGAUGAAAAAGCCAUAUUUAAUUGCUCAUUAUUAUCUAGCCCACCAACUAGUCCAACCAGUUAUCCAAUUUCUAGUCCAACUUCUCUAGUCUAACUUCUCUAGUCUGACUUAGUUGUCCUAGUUCAACUUCUCUCAAGCCUUCAUACUUUUGUGGAUGCUAUUUUCUCUGUGUCCCAGAUUCUUUGUUUACUUGGUAAAAUGUUAAUUUAGACUCAGGCCAGUAUUUCUUUCUCUGAGAAACAGUACCUCUUAGGUGGGUUUGACUAUCUCUAUCUAUAUGUUUGCAGGCACCUUUCCUGUGACUUACAGGCCUUUUCCAUGAUAGCUUUUAUUGCUUUGAAGUCAUUUAAUAAUCUCUUUUUCCUUAUCGCUAAAAAUUCCUUGAAGUCAGUGACGGUUUCUUAUUAAUUUUUGUUCUCUAGCACCUGGUGUACUACCAGAAACUGACUCUGAUGAAAUGGAAUUAUAUGAUUUCAGUCAGUUAGUUCAGUCAGUUCAGUCGCUCAGUCAUGUCUGACUCUUUAUGACCCCAUAAAUUGCAGCACGCCAGGCCUCCCUGUCCAUCACUAUCUCCUGGAGUUCACUCAAAUUCAUGUCCAUCGAGUCGGUGAUACCAUCCAGCCAUCUCAUCCUCUGUCGUGCCCUUCUCCUCCUGCCCCAAAUGCCUCCCAGCAUCAGGGUCUGUUCCAGUGAGUCAACUUUUCACAUGAGGUGGCCAAAGUACUUGAGCUUCAGCUUCAGCAUCAUUCCUUCCAAAGAGCAUCCAGGACUGAUCUCCUUUAGGAUGGACUGGUUGGAUCUCCUUGCAGUCCAAGGGACUCUCAAGAGUCUUCUCCAACACUACAGUUCAAAAGCAUCAAUUCUUCAGUGCUCAGCUUUCUUUAUAGUCCAACUCUCACAUCCACACAU